rnacentral:rRNA from 1 species
AUUGAACGCUGGCGGCAUGCCUUACACAUGCAAGUCGAACGGCAGCACGGGGCAACCUGGUGGCGAGUGGCGAACGGGUGAGUAAUGCAUCGGAACGUACCUUUCAGUGGGGGAUAGCGUAGCGAAAGUUACGCUAAUACCGCAUAUUCUGUGAGCAGGAAAGCAGGGGAUCGCAAGACCUUGCGCUGAUUGAGCGGCCGAUGUCAGAUUAGCUAGUUGGUGAGGUAAAGGCUCACCAAGGCGACGAUCUGUAGCGGGUCUGAGAGGAUGAUCCGCCACACUGGAACUGAGACACGGUCCAGACUCCUACGGGAGCCAGCAGUGGGGAAUUUUGGACAAUGGGGGCAACCCUGAUCCAGCCAUGCCGCGUGAGUGAAGAAGGCCUUCGGGUUGUAAAGCUCUUUCGGCCGGGAAGAAAUCGCACGGGCUAAUACCCUGUGUGGAUGACGGUACCGGAAUAAGAAGCACCGGCUAACUACGUGCCAGCCGCCGCAGUAACAC